AACUAAAGUUGGGGAAGGAAGUAUACAUGAAUGUAAAGCACACAAUCUAAGAAAAGAACAAAUAGCCCUAUACCAGCUAUACAUUUUCAUCGAGAAUAUGAAAAUCUGAAACCAAUAGAACAUAUCGGUUCGAAAUUUCUGGCAAUGUGGAAUUUCUUUGCAAGAAUAUUCAAUGUAAAGUUCUAAAACUUCUUUGCAAUGUCAAUAACACCUAAUCGAUAUUUAUCAAAAGUUUAGGACUGAAGAUUCUCUAUGUCUGAAAUGACUGUAUGUUCGACUUGAAUCACCAGACUUUGAAACAUAAAGGGCCGGGGUAAAUUCCAUGUCAAUUUUCUGAUAUAUUUUCGUGUUAUUCCAGGCCAACAGAUGUCUCCGGAUUUCUCCAAGGAAUACCCCAGUUGAAAAUUGUGACGUGGGUUCGAGCUGCAUUGGAUGCUUAACGGAAUUGAACAUUGCGGGCUGUACAAAUGGGCGAGACACCAACAUUGUCUGUUUGCAGAAUAGGACUUUUGGAUCCAGCAGAGAACAUAACAAUAUAUCUAGUGUCUUUCCAAAAGUGCCUGUUGAAAGAUGGUGUGACUGUGAAGAGUGCAGCCAAUUCAUCUGGAGAUUUUUACCUGAGGAACUGAACUAGUGGUUUAUAUGUACAUGACCAGGACUGGAUUAUUUUGAUGUCAUUUAACAUAAUAGUUUUAAAGAAUAAUGAUUCGUUUGAGAUUAUAGUCGACAUUGGGUAAUAUAUGAUAUUAAGGCAACAUUAUGAAAAGUAAAUCCCAAUGUGUUAUUUUAUGGUAGGGAUGUUGAUGAAUAUUGAAUAUGGAAAUUAAUAAAAAAAUAGUUGAUCAUCUA